AUUGAACGCUGGCGGCAUGCUUUACACAUGCAAGUCGAACGGUAACAGGCCGCAAGGUGCUGACGAGUGGCGAACGGGUGAGUAAUGCAUCGGAACGUGCCCAGUCGUGGGGGAUAACUGCUCGAAAGAGCAGCUAAUACCGCAUACGAUCUAUGGAUGAAAGCGGGGGACCGUAAGGCCUCGCGCGAUUGGAGCGGCCGAUGUCAGAUUAGGUAGUUGGUGGGGUAAAGGCACACCAAGCCAACGAUCUGUAGCUGGUCUGAGAGGCCGACCAGCCACACUGGGACUGAGACACGGCCCAGACUCCGACGGGAGGCAGCAGUGGGGAAUUUUGGACAAUGGGGGCAACCCUGAUCCAGCAAUGCCGCGUGCAGGAAGAAGGCCUUCGGGUUGUAAACUGCUUUUGUACGGGACGAAACGGUCUGGGUUAAUACCCUGGGCUAAUGACGGUAACGUAAGAAUAAGCACCGGCUAACUACGUGCCAGCCGCCGCGGUAAAAC
rnacentral:rRNA from 1 species